GGGGGUGUAGUUCAUUGGUAAAGUGCUUGCUUAGCAUGCUUGAGGCCUGGGUUCAAUCCCCAGCACCACCA
rnacentral:tRNA from 1 species